AUCUGGGUGGCUCAGUCAGUUGAGUAUCUGACUUAAGCUCAGGUCAUGAUCACACAGUUUGUGGGUUCAAGCCCCAUUUUGGGCU
rnacentral:tRNA from 1 species